rnacentral:misc_RNA from 1 species
GAUGAAGAACGUAGCGAAAUGCGAUAAGUAAUGUGAUUUGCAGAAUUCAGUGAAUCAUCGAAUCUUUGAACGCACAUUGCGCCCCCUGGUAUUCCGGGGGGCAUGCCUGUUCGAGCGUCAUUACAACCCUCAAGCUCUGCUUGGUAUUGGGCCCCGCCAGUUCUGGCGGGCCCUAAAGUCAGUGGCGUUGCCUUCCGGCUCCGAGCGUAGUAAUUCUUCUCGCUCUGGAGACCCGGUUGUGUGCUUGCCAACAACCCCCAAUUUUUUAAGGUUGACCUCGGAUCAGGUAGGGAUACCCGCUGAACUUAAGCAUAUCAAUAAGCGGAGGA